rnacentral:rRNA from 1 species
GAUCCUGCCGGACCCGACUGCUAUCCGGGUAAGAUUAAGCCAUGCAAGUCGAAUGGUAAGCUAAACUACCAUGGCAUACUGCUCAGUAACAAGUGAUUAACUUACCCUUCAGUAGGGCAUAUCCUCGGGAAACUGAGGCUAAUUCCCUAUAGUUGAAAAAGCCUGGAAUGGUUUUUCAUCGAAAGAAUGUAUCAAAUGCGAUAUAUUUGCUGAAGGAUAGGAUCGCUCCCGAUUAUGGUUGUUGGCGAGGUAAUGGCUCACCAAGCCUAUGAUCGGUAAGGGCCGUGAGAGCGGUAGCCCUGAGAUGGGAACUGAGACAAUGUCCCAGGCCUUACGAGGCGCAGCAGGCGCGAAACCUUUACAAUGCACGAAAGUGUGAUAAGGUUACCCGGAGUGCUAGAAAACAAAUUUCUAGCUGUUACAGCGUGUAGAUAACGCUGAGAGAAAGGAGAGGGCAAGGCUGGUGCCAGCCGCCGCGGUAAAACCAGCUCUCCAAGUGGUCGGGACAAUUAUUGAGCUUAAAGUGUCCGUAGCCGGUCUGGUAAGUCCCUGGUUAAAUCUGGCAGCUUAACUGUCAGUAGGCUAGGGAAACUACCUAGCUAGAGGGCGGGAAAGGUCUGAGGUACUCCAGGGGUAGCGGUGAAAUGCGAUAAUCCUUUGGGGACCACCAGUGGCGAAGGCGUCAGACUGGAACGCGCCUGACGGUGAGGGACGAAAGCCAGGGGAGCGAACGGGAUUAGAUACCCCGGUAGUCCUGGCUGUAAACGAUGCAUGUUAGGUGUUGGUAGGGCUAUGAGCUGUAUCAGUGCCGUAGGGAAACCGUUAAACGUGCCGCUUGGGAAGUACGCUCGCAAGAGUGAAACUUAAAGGAAUUGGCGGGGGAGCACCACAAGGGGUGAAGCCUGCGGUUCAAUUGGAUUCAACGCCGGG